rnacentral:piRNA from 1 species
UGGAUCUCUGCUUAUACCAUAUUUUAGGGC